AGUGAACGCUGGCGGUAGGCCUAACACAUGCAAGUCGAACGGCAGCACAGUAAGAGCUUGCUCUUACGGGUGGCGAGUGGCGGACGGGUGCGGAAUACAUCGGAAUCUACUUUUUCGUGGGGGAUAACGUAGGGAAACUUACGCUAAUACCGCCUACGACCUACGGGUGAAAGCAGGGGAUCUUCGGACCUUGCGCGAUUGAAUGAGCCGAUGUCGGAUUAGCUAGUUGGCGGGGUAAAGGCCCACCAAGGCGACGAUCCGUAGCUGGUCUGAGAGGAUGAUCAGCCACACUGGAACUGAGACACGGUCCAGACUCCUACGGGAGGCAGCAGAGGGGAAUAUUGGACAAUGGGCGCAAGCCUGAUCCAGCCAUACCGCGUGGGUGAAGAAGGCCUUCGGGUUGUAAAGCCCUUUUGUUGGGAAAGAAAAGCAGCAGGUUAAUACCCCGCUGUUCUGACGGUACCCAAAGAAUAAGCACCGGCUAACUUCGUG
rnacentral:rRNA from 1 species